GUAGGUGAACCUGCGGAAGGAUCAUUACCGAGAUAGGGGCUCCGGCCCCGAACCUCCAACCCCUGUCUACCCACCUUUGUUGCUUUGGCGGGCCCGUGUCCGGGCUGGUCCCGGCACCUCCGCCCCCGGGGUGUGCCCGUCGAAGGCCCUUUCCAAACUCGUUUACCGGUGCAGUCUGAGCAAAUAACCAAUAAUUAAAACUUUCAACAACGGAUCUCUUGGUUCUG
rnacentral:misc_RNA from 1 species